rnacentral:tRNA from 1 species
CGGAUGUAGCCACGGAUCAAGGCAGUGGAUUGGGAAUCC